rnacentral:lncRNA from 1 species
AACCAUUCAUCAUAUUGCCCCUCAUUAUUAACUUGUCGAUAGUGAGAACAUAAUCUCGCCCAGCCUCCCAAGUGAAGAAGGCUACUCUAUGAGAGGCAUGUACCUUCCAGAUUUACAGAUAAGGGAACUUGGUCUCAAUGAGAUCAGUCCUGGUUAGAAAAUUAUAGAAGUCCUAAUCAUGAAGUUAUAGAGCUGAGGCUCUAAACUGGUUGGUCAUCACUCCCAUUCAAGGAUACAAAGGCAAGUGAAUUCAGGAGAGUUUCAUAUUCAUCAACAAAGACUCCUUCUCAACCUCAAAUCUGACCCAAGCUUCUCCACGGCUGUCGGAUCUCCGGAGUCCAGAUACGCCUUCUCUUUACCUGUUUCAAUCACGGGUACUUUCGAAACCGUCUAGGUAACAAGUUGUCAGACCCAUUUCAACCAAUAACCCAAUCUUUUGGCCCUUUCCCGGAUCCAGCCCACAUGGCCCAUUUACAUUUCUUGCCACUAACACUAUCGCUCACAGCCACCAACACCAUUGUUGCCUGAAAACCACCGCAUUCCAGUCGGAUUCACCUCCACCACACUGUCGUC